AGAGUUUGAUCCUGGCUCAGGACGAACGCUGGCGGCACGCUUAACACAUGCAAGUCGAACGAGAGAAGAGGAGCUUGCUUUUCUGAUCUAGUGGCGGACGGGUGAGUAACACGUGAGCAAUCUGCCUUUCAGAGGGGGAUACCGAUUGGAAACGAUCGUUAAUACCGCAUAACAUAAUUGAACCGCAUGAUUUGAUUAUCAAAGAUUUAUCGCUGAAAGAUGAGCUCGCGUCUGAUUAGCUAGUUGGUAAGGUAACGGCUUACCAAGGCGACGAUCAGUAGCCGGACUGAGAGGUUGAUCGGCCACAUUGGGACUGAGACACGGCCCAGACUCCUACGGGAGGCAGCAGUGGGGAAUAUUGCACAAUGGAGGAAACUCUGAUGCAGCGAUGCCGCGUGAGGGAAGAAGGUUUUAGGAUUGUAAACCUCUGUCUUCAGGGACGAAAAAAGACGGUACCUGAGGAGGAAGCUCCGGCUAACUACGUGCCAGCAGCCGCGGUAAUACGUAGGGAGCGAGCGUUGUCCGGAAUUACUGGGUGUAAAGGGAGCGUAGGCGGGAUCGCAAGUCAGACGUGAAAACUAUGGGCUUAACCCAUAAACUGCAUUUGAAACUGUGGUUCUUGAGUGAAGUAGAGGUAAGCGGAAUUCCUAGUGUAGCGGUGAAAUGCGUAGAUAUUAGGAGGAACAUCAGUGGCGAAGGCGGCUUACUGGGCUUUAACUGACGCUGAGGCUCGAAAGCGUGGGGAGCAAACAGGAUUAGAUACCCUGGUAGUCCACGCCGUAAACGAUGAUUACUAGGUGUGGGGGGACUGACCCCUUCCGUGCCGCAGCAAACGCAAUAAGUAAUCCACCUGGGGAGUACGACCGCAAGGUUGAAACUCAAAGGAAUUGACGGGGGCCCGCACAAGCAGUGGAGUAUGUGGAUUAAUUCGAAGCAACGCGAAGAACCUUACCAGGUCUUGACAUCGUAUGCAUAGCUCAGAGAUGAGUGAAAUCUCUUCGGAGACAUAUAGACAGGUGGUGCAUGGUUGUCGUCAGCUCGUGUCGUGAAAUGUUGGGUUAAGUCCCGCAACGAGCGCAACCCUUACUGUUAGUUGCUACGCAAGAGCACUCUAGCAGGACUGCCGUUGACAAAACGGAGGAAGGUGGGGAUGACGUCAAAUCAUCAUGCCCCUUAUGACCUGGGCCUCACACGUACUACAAUGGCUGUCAACAGAGGGAAGCAAAGCUGCGAGGUGGAGCGAACCCCUAAAAGCAGUCUUAGUUCGGAUUGUAGGCUGCAACCCUCCUACAUGAAGUCGGAAUUGCUAGUAAUCGCAGAUCAGCAUGCUGCGGUGAAUACGUUCCCGGGCCUUGUACACACCGCCCGUCACGCCAUGGGAGUCGGUAACACCCGAAGCCUGUAGUCUAACCGCAAGGAGGACGCAGUCGAAGGUGGGAUUGAUGACUGGGGUGAAGUCGAAACAAGGUA
rnacentral:rRNA from 1 species